AGUCAGCACGAAGGGACAAGAAAUGGCAGGAGUGUUUCACACACAUCGGCCACGUUCGAAUCAAUUACAAGACGCCCAUGUGGCCGUUCCUGGUCAUCAUUAAAUGAUCGGUAGGACAUUGAUGCUUCAAGUUAAGUUGUUUUGGGACUGAAUUGUAGCGUCGCCAGGUCAUUUAAAAGGCAAACAGCCACUUUUUAACUGCGGAUGAGCAUUUACUUUUCCAAGUCUAAACAUUUAUCGGUUCUAGGGUUGGGAUGUUGGACUGGUAGGGGUAGGAACGUAUGUUAGAACUGGACAGGUAUGACGAUAAAGUUCUGUUAAGACAUUUAGGGUAAGACAACUGUUGGUAAUAGGGUAUAUUAGGAUAGGACAGGUGGAGUAGGAAGGUAGGCUAGGUCAGUGGGAUAAGGCGGGUCAUGUUUGGAGGGUAGUUUAGAACAGGACAGGCUGGGCUUGGACAGGUAAGGGUCGGAAGGUCGGGUAGGACAGAACAGGUAGAGGUAGGAUGGUAGGAUGGUAGGUUGGGAUGGAGAUCGAUAUGAUAGGUAAGGACAGGACAGGUAGAAUUAGCAAGGUGGGUGUGGGACAGGACAAUAGGAUAGGAAGAUAGAACAGGAUCGGUGGGCAAUGACGACUUAUAAUCCUAAAUUUCUUCCAUCCAUCCAUCCAUUUUCUACCGCAUAUCAGUUGGGUUGUGGGGACAGUAGCUUUAGCAAGGAAGCCCAGACUUCCCUCUCCCCAGCCACUUCUUCCCGGGGAAUCCGAGGCGUUCCCAGGCCAGCUGGGUGACGUAGUCUCUCCAGCGUGUCUCGGGUCGUCCCCGGGGCCUCCUGCCGUUGGGACAUGCCCGCAACACCUCAUCAGGCAGGCGUCCUAGUUAUUGCCCGAGCCACCUCAUCUGGCUCUUUUCGACGUGGAGGAGAAGCACCUAAAUUUCUUCCCUCCACAUAUCAGAAUCUCUACAUAAUCAUUUCACUAUGAGUACAUAAGAGCACUCGGCUCGUCUCAAAUCCCGUCGCGAUUAUUACCGAGCGGCUAUUUAGUCACAAAUAGCGGUUCCCUUUCCCCUCUUCACAGCGGCGAUUGCGCCGGCGGUUCGCU